rnacentral:lncRNA from 1 species
GACUCAUCCGGUUCGCCGGUGAGUUAUAAGGGGACCUAUUCGGGACGCCGGUAGAGAUUAAGUGAACUCAUCCGGUACGUCGGUGAGGUAUAAGUGGACAUGCAGGGAUUAAGUGGACCUAUCUGGGAUGUCGAUAGGGAUUAAGUGGACCCAUCAAGACGCUGAUGGGGUAUAUAAGUGACCUACUUAGGACGCCAGUAGGGUAUUUUGUGAAAUCCUUUGAAUUAUGCACUGCCAUUAAAAUGUUAUAUGCAUUUCAAUUAUUCGGAUUAUACUUAAUUAUGCAUUUUUGGAAGUGAAACUGUUAAUGCAUUUCUGUUAAUAGAUCUCUUUUUUGGAAAUAUUGAUAUCUUUCAACUAUGAUUAUUUUUAGGAUUAUGAUGAUCACUUACUGAGUAGCCAAACUCAUUAAAAUAUGGUAAACAUUUUUCAGGAUAACUGCAGUUUCAUUUGAGUGCUCGUCAGGAUCAACUUUGGGAAGAUAUUAUAGCUAUGCUUAAAAUUUCUUUUGUUACUUUUUAAAAAUUCGCCAUUGUAAAUUUCUCCUAAAAAGAGAUGUAUAUGUUUUGACUGCCACAUCUCAGGAAUAUCAGUAUUGUAAAUUCUUUGGGUGUGACAGAGAUCCAACGUUUUCAG